rnacentral:rRNA from 1 species
AGUGAACGCUGGCGGUAGGCCUAACACAUGCAAGUCGAACGGCAGCACAGUAAGAGCUUGCUCUUACGGGUGGCGAGUGGCGGACGGGUGAGGAAUACAUCGGAAUCUACUUUUUCGUGGGGGAUAACGUAGGGAAACUUACGCUAAUACCGCAUACGACCUACGGGUGAAAGCAGGGGAUCUUCGGACCUUGCGCGAUUGAAUGAGCCGAUGUCGGAUUAGCUAGUUGGCGGGGUAAAGGCCCACCAAGGCGACGAUCCGUAGCUGGUCUGAGAGGAUGAUCGGCCACAGUGGAGCUAGAACGCGGCCCAAACCACUACGGGAGGCAGCGGUGGGGAAUGUUGAACAAUGGGCGAAAGCCUGACGAAGCCAAGCGGCGUGAGUGAAGAAGGCUUUCGGGUGGUAAAGCCUUUUUUUGGGGAAAGAAAAGAUGCAGAAUAAACCCGCCGUGUCUUGACGGUACCAAAUAAAAAAGCACCGGCAAACUACGGC